UCUUUUGAUAGUAAGGUGUUCGUCAAUUUCUAGGUAAAUAUCAAAUUUCUGUUAUUGGGUGUAAAAGAGUAUAUAUAAAUGAUUUGUUUCGAAGUUUUGUAACAUUAACGUCGAACUUGGUUGAAUUUAAAGCUCGGUGUAUAGCUUUGCUUUACAGAAUUAAAAAUUACUGCAAACGGAGAAAAAGGAGGGGAAGGGUUAAAGUUAUGAAAACAAAACGUCUAUUAGAAACAGGUAAAUCACCUCAUCCUACAUAUACAGAUGACUAAAUGAGCAACAAUUGGCUAUAAUGUUUACAAAAAUUCCAAAACAUAAUUAGGAAGAGGGUUAUGUACAUCACCGAUGUAUUGAACAAAAACCUACAAACAAAAAAGGCGUGAGCAACCAAAGGGAC
rnacentral:lncRNA from 1 species